AAAACAACACCCGAUUUUCCUCCAAACUUUUCUAACUUUUCUCUCAAAUUCAAUCUCCAAACUCAAGAAUACUAUAGGGCUUCAAAAACCGGUUCCAUUUCGUUCAAAUUUGCUUUGAAGUCUGAGAUUCCAUCAUCAUGAUAAAUGGCAAAUGGACGUGUGCCAAAGACAUGUGGAAGAGGAAGAUAUAAAUCUCAUUCCAAAAGAUCUAGCAAAAGAAUUAAGACAUCUCAGGAGGAUGAGCUACAAAAAUCAAUUGUAGCUGAAAUGGAAGCCAAACCACUUCAGGUAGUAGAAGGAGUGGAUGCUGGAGAAGAAGAAAAAGAAAACGAAAAUGAAGAGGAAAUUGAGAAAGAAAAUAAAGAGGAAACAGAGAAUAUACUAUGAGGGAAUGCUAGAGAAGCGGAAACAGAGAAAGAAAAAGAAGAGGAAAUAGAAAAGGAAAAAGAAGAGGAAACAAGGAAAGUAAGAGAAGAAAAGAUAAAUGUUGAUGAACAAGAAUCAAAAGAGGAUACAACAAUUGAUGAAAGAGAAGAGGAGACAAAUAUUGACGAUGAAGCAUCAGUAGCAAAUACUGAUGAAAAAGCUUCAAGAGAAGAAGUAGAUGAAGAAGAAAAAGAGGCAGCGACAGAAAGAAGAAAAAAGAGAAAGAAUGAUAAUGCACAUUCUCAAUCUGUUGAGGAUGAGAUGCCUGAGGAUGAGUCUGACAGUUGCGAGGUUGAAGAUGAAGAAGGAGGAGGAGAAGAAGAAGAAGAAAAAGAGGCAGCGGCAGAAAGAAGAAAACAAAGAAAGAAUGAUAAUGCACCUUCUCAAUCUGUUGAGGAAAGCUUAAUAUGCUUCAAACAUGUCACGACCCAUUUUACCCCUCCGAAAGGUGUCAUGACGACACCUAGUCUCUACGACUAGGUAAGCCUACUAUUUCAGAAACAUAAAAGAAAAACAUUACAAUGAAAGCUAAACAAUAUGAUUUAAUAUGCAAGGAUAGUGCCACUCGGCAUAUACAAUACAUUACUCCCAAAACCCGGAAUGUCGCUAAUCACAAGCUUCUAUAAGUCUAUAUAGCUCUAUACAAAAUAUCUGAAGAAAACAAAAGAAAAUCUCUA